UACAGAGGGGGCAAGCGUUGUUCGGAAUUACUGGGCGUAAAGCGCACGCAGGCGGUCUUGUAAGUUUCGAGUGACAGGUGGUGGCUUAACUGCCACAGGCCUUGGAAAACUGCAAGACUUGAGGGCGAGAGAGGGAUGCGGAAUUCCAGGUGGAGCGGUGAAAUGCGUAGAGAUCUGGAAGAACACCAAAGGCGAAGGCAGCAUCCUGGAUCGUUACUGACGCUCAUGUGCGAAAGCCAGGGGAGCGAACGGG
rnacentral:rRNA from 1 species